rnacentral:rRNA from 1 species
AAUAGAUACCCGGGUAGUCCACGCCGUAAACGAUGAGUGCUAAGUGUUAGGGGGUUUCCGCCCCUUAGUGCUGCAGGCUAACGCAUUAAGCACUCCGCCUGGGGAGUACGGUCGCAAGACUGAAACUCAAAGGAAUUGACGGGGGCCCGCACAAGCGGUGGAGCAUGUGGUUUAAUUCGAAGCAACGCGAAGAACCUUACCAGGUCUUGACAUCCCAUUGACCACUAUGGAGACAUAGUUUUCCCUUCGGGGACAACGGUGACAGGUGGUGCAUGGUUGUCGUCAGCUCGUGUCGUGAGAUGUUGGGUUAAGUCCCGCAACGAGCGCAACCCUUGUUCUUAGUUGCCAUCAUUUAGUUGGGCACUCUAAGGAGACUGCCGGUGACAAACCGGAGGAAGGUGGGGAUGACGUCAAAUCAUCAUGCCCCUUAUGACCUGGGCUACACACGUGCUACAAUGGACGGUACAAACGGUUGCCAACCCGCGAGGGGGAGCUAAUCCGAUAAAACCGUUCUCAGUUCGGAUUGUAGGCUGCAACUCGCCUACAUGAAGCC